AGCAAGAUCCUGUGUGUAUAAACUCGACCAGAAACAUGUAAAUUAUAAGUUUAUUUAGGAAUGACCCCCUGGCGGAAACUCACAAGUCCGGCCAGGCCAGGCUCAGUUCGGAAUACUCGCACACAGCUUUCAGAAUAAUCAGGGCCCUGGGAAUGCUGCCAAAACUGUCCCAGAACUGAGAAAUUCUCCUCUUUCCUGGGGGCCUCUCAUCAGCAAGAUGGAGAAUCAGAGCAGACAGAGGAAGAAGAGCUCCACACAUGGCAGAGUUCGUCACCAAAUCGUUCCAAAAAGACCCAGCAAGUGUACUGAAUUGGACCCUUGAACUGUCCCAGGCUUAGUUCACGACAGACAAGUGCACCCGGAGAUAAGGUGUUUGCUUUUUGCUCCAAGCUGUGCAGGACACAAAGCAUGCUGCCUGUUAGAUUGUGUUUACAGUGUCUGGUAAAUAGAGGCUACAGAUGCACUAAUGCUGCAAAAAAACACUGCCGCGUCUUUGGUAAAAUGUUAAAGAAAGUCUCUUUGACUGGAUUAAAGUCCUUUUGAUUCCCCUUUCUGUGAACAUUCUAGCAAACAAGCUGUAAUGGCACUGUGAUUAAUUAGACCACUGUGUCUAAACUAAUAUGGUCACCACUUUUACAAAAUUGUGAUAAAUCUUGUACAAAGUAUGCCUUGUGAGGUAUCAUUGGAAAAAGUUAUUAUCUGCUGAGUAUUAUUAUCUUGUUGUACUGUGUGUAUCGACACUGUGUGUGAAGUUAUGAAAUUUUGCUUUAUGUUUAUAACUCAAACAUGAUUGUGAGUCUGAGAAAUGCCCACAGGUUAGCUCUUCAGCAAUAACGAAGGAACUGUAAACAAAAGCCUCUGCAUGUCAUUCCUGAAGACACCUCAAAUGGGCACCUGCACAGAAGGUGCAAGCAAAAAUUUGCAAUUCAUAUGAAGGACUGAUGGCAAAGCACAGACACAACUGAACUGCCUGACCCCAUGACACAGCAAAGAUUUUUUCCAGCAAAAAGGGUCAAGAUAUAAAAAGGGAGAAGAAAGGGUAGGAAAGAGGUGGCUAGGGUCCUAUCUCUGGACUGGUGAAUUCUGACACAGGAAAUUUUGAACAAAAAGAUGGAGGUCCCCAAAAACUAUUUGGGCACCCAGAGAGACUUAUAGAAAACUAGCAGAUUGAACAUCCCUGUUAUCGUUUUGGACUUAUAAACUCUAAUUCACCUGUAAUACAUUUCACCUGCUUUAGCUUCUAAAUAACUCAUUUAUUUUUCUUAGCUAAUAAAUCUUUAGUUAGUUUACCAAGAAAUUGACUGACAGCAUUGUCUUUCAGAGUAGCAGCCGUGUUAGUCUGUAUUCGCAAAAAGAAAAGGAGUACUUGUGGCACCUUAGAGACUAACAAAUUUAUUAGAGCAUAAGCUUUCGUGAGCUACAGCUCACUUCAUCGGAUGCAUUGUCUUUGCAGCUCUUGAGCAUCCAUUGACCUGGGGGUAAGUGACAGUCUCUUUAAGGUGGCUGUAAGAACCUAAAGAUGGUGAUUUUGGGUUUUAAUAACCUUUCAUCACAGACAUCCAGUUCAUCUGGGUGAUGGUAUAAGUUGGAGUAUCUAAGGGGACUGUUUGUGGCUCCAUAGUAAGUUAGUAUAGUGAUCCAGAAGCACACAUUUGUUGCUGAUUUGGUUAAAUCUAAUUAUAGGUUAUACUGCCAGUGAGGGAGUGUCUACCCCGUUCUUUGACAGUCUAACCUGAGACUGACUCUCUCAGCUGUGACCCAUAUCAGACAUCGUGACAGGCACAAAUACUCAGGAUAAGCAAAUCUGAAACCUGAAUAUUCACCAAAACUGAAUUUCAGGUGGUGAAAUUAACAGCAAUAGAAAGUGGAAUUUCACACCCAAUCAUGCAAUUCAGAAUUUACACUCUUUUGUUGAUUGAUAGCAUAAAUUAUCCAACCUGGGAAUGAGAAUAACAACACGUGAUUUAUGUAUGGCACCAACCCCACACAAAUUCCAUGUUCUGAAUAUUCACAUGGUGCUGUUUGCAAACAAUCUGCAGACCAGCAAUCAUUUUGCUGAAGAAAUUUGUGAAUAAUUAUGAACAGCUAAAUUUGAGAAUUUCAUGAAUUUGUUCAUAAAUGGUUUUGCAAACAGAAAGAAGCAAAAUUUGUCAACUAAAUGAUUUGUUAUGAACUAUUUGCCCAGCUCUAACAGAGACUGAAGAAUCCUAUAAACUUGUACUUACUGUUCCAUGAAGGUUUUUAUGCCCUGUCAAAGGAAAAAAGAGAAAGGUAAGAAGAGCUAUUUAUUAACUGUGUAAUUCUGUAUGGCACAUGUUAAUAGUAUUUAGAACCCCAGCAGCCAGCUAUAUGUUGUAGUGGAAAGGAAAUUGACAGUUUUCUUUGAACUCUCAAAGAAGAUGACCCUGACCGGCCAUAGUCUCUUCCUCUGAAACUGUCUCUAUCCUUCCUCCAGAGCAUGUUCCAUUUCUCCCUCCUAGCCAGGGUCUGACGGGUGAUUUCAGCAAACAUGCUUCUCAGGAUAUUUGGUAGUUCGCAGCUUGUUCUGGUUUUGAUAUUGGAGAUGCAACCAGUCCCUUAGAGGGAAUUAUGGGAAACGUCCUGCUUAGAAACAGUUCCAUGAAUAUAUUCUACUUUUUCUAUUUCCUUUCCUGUGGUCUUUGGCUGGGAUUGUCAAAGGGGCCAAAGGGAGUUUGGCACCCAAAUCCCAAGGAAAGUCCAUAGGAGUUGGGCACACUUUAGCUCCUUUGAAUUUCUCAGCUUUUAUUACACAGGACAAGUCAAUCAGAAUCCUUUCUUCCUGAGAUUUCAUCUGCUCCUAUUACUUAUUCCCCAACCAAAAUCACAAUACAUUGGCUGUCCCAGUGCAGGUCUUGGUAUCAGGAUUAUCACAGAGGAUCAGGAUUUCAGGAACUGGUGGAGCUUCAGAAACUCUAAGGAGAUGUGGUGCUGAAGAUGAAACUUGUUCUCCUGGAAAAAACACACAGUUUGUUAAUGGGAAAUAUUUGUACUCAGCAGCUUCAAAUAAAAACAUUUACUCAGAUAACUAAUUGCUACCAGCUCAUAAAGCACAAGUGACAAAUCACUUGUUUCAUAUUUUAUAAUUGCCAGUGUAUCCUGUGAACCAUUUAUACCUUUUUAGAGGAUUGUAGAAUCUGCUUUACAAGGACAGACCCUUGGUCUGUCAAGUCUGCUAUUGAACUCUAGCCAGGACAAAAACAAAACAGUUAUUAACAUGUUCUAUAACUUUUGUUCUUCGAGAUGUGUUGCAUAUGUCCAUUCCACUUUAAGUGUAUGCAUGCCCAGUGCACUAUUGUCAAAGAUUUUUUUUCCCUAGAGGUACCCCAUUGGGACAGCGCAUACAUUAUCUACCCUGUUAAUGUAAAACACAAAUGUUACUAGUGGUCAAAGCAUUAUCCUCAAGAAGCAAAAGAGGAUGCAAAACAGGCAGCACUGAGCAAACCUCAUGUUAUGAAAGUCUGGCCCAUCUUCAACAGGUGCUUUCUGAUUGUGCUGCUGUCUUGAAACUCAUUAAUAUUGCAAUAAAUGUAAGGUUGUU